CUACCACGAGCGUGUGCGCGCUUCCGGGAGGCCGCUGCAGGCCCGGCCCAGUCCCGCGCCGCGGUCCCCAACCGACACCCCGUGUGCCCUCCCGCGCGGGCCGCGGCUCCGCCAGGGCGGCCUCCUCCGCCUGCGCCCCCAGCUGGGCCGGCCGGGGGGCCCCCAGCCACAGGGCCGCACUGCUCGCGUGCGGCGCCAGCUCCGGGGCUGCCGCGGAGCCUCGGGGAGCAGCCGCCCAAGCCCAUUCCUGAUGCGGGCUGCGGAGAUAGCAGCGGGCCCACGGCCUCCGGAAUAGGCAGCGCGGCCGCCCGGGAGCGCGGCCCUGGCGGGUUCAGGGCUCCCGUUCGGCCCCCACAGCCUCCCCUACGCGCCAGCCGCCCCCACUCCCCAAUCCACCUCCACAGGCCCCCACAACCGCCCCCCACACCUUGGUUAGGAGGCUGCAAACGUUCCACGGCACAGCAGCACCAAGACGCUGAAGCAACUGACGCGCCGCCCCCGCGCCUGCCUUAUAUAGCGACGGGCCCGCCCAGCGCGCGGCGCUUUUUCCAGAAGCCUCCCGAACCUUCCGGAAGAACCCUCCCCAACCGCCGCCGCGGCCGCGCGCCUGCGCCUGCGCCCUCGCCGUGGCCCGCCCUUCCCACUGGCGCGCGCAGGCCCUGCUCGUGGCCCAGCCCGGGAAACCUUCCCUCAAUCACGCCCCCGCGCCGACCUCAAUGCGCCUGCGCGGCCUGGAAUUCUCGGGAAGGUCCGGACGCCUUCUGGGGCCCCCGCGCCCUCCGCCCUGCACUCCCACCUGCUGAGCGCGGGCGGAGGGCACGCCCGGGCGUGGGGGCCUUUGAAGUGAGGUGUAGUUUGGUCACCAGGGCUGCGCAGAAUGCGGGGCCGGGGCGGGAGGCGCGCCUGGAGGGAGGGCCGUGCGUGGACGGGGAGCGCCCCGGAUCUCGCGCGCCCGGGAGACUACUGGAGCCGUCGUCCUCACGGACGGCGCGCCCGCUGCCAAAAAACCCAGCCGCAGGCGGCGCCGGGAUCGCGGGGCUCUGCUCCCUGGGGGCCUUUGGGCUGUUGGCUUCUAGCUGCUGCGCGCAGGGGACGCCGUCCCGCGGCCUGCGCGCUCGCGGAGUCUCCAGACCCACCGCUGGCUCAGGAGCGCUCCCUACCUUUGGGUUCCCCGGAAGCCAUGUCCUUCACACUUCAGGGUCCCUUAGCUUGGGAAUCGGGCCCUUGGUGAAUAAAUUCAUGCUUACCCAGCUACAUCCGGCAUGA
rnacentral:lncRNA from 1 species